rnacentral:tRNA from 1 species
GCUGGUGUAGCACAGGGGUAGUGCAGCUGAUUCGUAAUCAGCAGGUCAAGAGUUCAAAUCUCUUCACCAGCU